CGGCGGACGGGUGAGUAACGCGUGGGUAACCUGCCUCGUACAGGGGGAUAGCAGUUAGAAAUGACUGCUAAUACCGCAUAAGACCACAGCACCGCAUGGUGCAGGGGUAAAAACUCCGGUGGUAUGAGAUGGACCCGCGUCUGAUUAGCUAGUUGGUAAGGUAACGGCUUACCAAGGCGACGAUCAGUAGCCGACCUGAGAGGGUGACCGGCCACAUUGGGACUGAGACACGGCCCAA
rnacentral:rRNA from 1 species